GAGUUUGAUCCUGGCUCAGGACAAAUGCUGGCGGCAUGCCUAACACAUGCAAGUCGAACGGACAAGUUAGUGGAAAUUUUUCGGAAUGGAAACUAAUGCGUUAGUGGCGGAUGGGUGAGUAACGCGUGGAUAACCUGCCUCUAAAUGGGGAAUAACUACGAGAAAUCGUAGCUAAUACCGCAUAAUAUCUCUUUAUUGCAUGAUAGAGAGAGGAAAGACGGCCUUAGUGCUGUCGUUUAGAGAUGGAUCCGCGUCUGAUUAGCUAGUUGGUGAGGUAAGGGCUCACCAAGGCGACGAUCAGUAGCCGGCCUGAGAGGGUGAACGGCCACAUUGGGACUGAGACACGGCCCAAACUCCUACGGGAGGCAGCAGUGGGGAAUCUUCCGCAAUGGGCGCAAGCCUGACGGAGCAAUGCCGCGUGAGUGAAGAAGGCCUUCGGGUUGUAAAACUCUGUCCUUAUCGAAGAGAGAGAAGAGUAGUAACUGACUUUUCUAGGACGGUAGAUGAGGAGGAAGCCCCGGCUAACUAUGUGCCAGCAGCCGCGGUAAAACAUAGGGGGCAAGCGUUGUCCGGAAUCACUGGGCGUAAAGGGCGCGCAGGCGGUUUAUUAAGUCAGGUGUGAAAGUUCGGGGCUCAACCCCGUGAUUGCACCUGAUACUGAUAGACUAGAGUGUUGGAGAGGUAAGUGGAAUUCCUAGUGUAGCGGUGGAAUGCGUAGAUAUUAGGAGGAACACCAGUGGCGAAGGCGACUUACUGGCCAAUAACUGACGCUGAGGCGCGAAAGCGUGGGGAGCAAACAGGAUUAGAUACCCUGGUAGUCCACGCCGUAAACGAUGAGUACUAGGUGUUGGUUGUUUCGAUACAAUCGGUGCCGUAGUUAACACAAUAAGUACUCCGCCUGGGGAGUACGGUCGCAAGACUGAAACUCAAAGGAAUUGACGGGGGCCCGCACAAGCGGUGGAGCAUGUGGUUUAAUUCGACGCAACGCGAAGAACCUUACCAAGACUUGACAUCCUCUUGACCGGAUAUGUAAUGUAUCCUUUUCUUCGGAACAAGAGAGACAGGUGGUGCAUGGUUGUCGUCAGCUCGUGUCGUGAGAUGUUGGGUUAAGUCCCGCAACGAGCGCAACCCCUAUAGUUAGUUGCCAUCAUUAAGUUGGGCACUCUAGCAAGACUGCCGGUGACAAACCGGAGGAAGGUGGGGAUGACGUCAAAUCAUCAUGCCCCUUGUGUCUUGGGCUACACACGUGCUACAAUGGUUGGUACAGAGGGCAGCGAAGGAGUGAUCUGGAGCGAAUCCCAAAAAGCCAAUCUCAGUUCGGAUUGUAGGCUGCAACUCGCCUACAUGAAGUCGGAAUCGCUAGUAAUCGCAGGUCAGCAUACUGCGGUGAAUACGUACCCGGGCCUUGUACACACCGCCCGUCACACCACGAAAGUUGGUAACACCCGAAGUCGGUGGUCUGACCCGCAAGGGAGGAAGCCGCCCACGGUGGGAUCGAUGAUUGGGGUGAAGUCGUAACAAGGUAGCCGUAUCGGAAGGUGCGGCUGGAUCACCUCCUU
rnacentral:rRNA from 1 species